rnacentral:rRNA from 1 species
AUUGAACGCUGGCGGCGUGCUUAAUACAUGCAAGUCUAAGGAAGUGGCGCACGGGUGAGUAAUAUAUAGCUAAUCUGCGCCUUUCUGGUGGACAACAGGUAGAAAUGACUGCUAAUACUUCAUAGCAAGGGAUGAGACUAUAUCGUAUCAUCUAGUCGGUGGGGUAACGGCCUACCGAGGCUAUGACGCGUCACUGGUCUGAGAGGAUGAUCAGUCACAUUGGAACUGAGACACGGUACAAAUUCCUCCGGGAUGGAGCAGUAGUGGAUAGUGCGCAAUGGGGGAAGCCCUGACGCAGCUACGCCGCGUGGAGGAUGACACUUUUCGGAGCGUAAACUCCUUUUGUUAGGGAAGCGGUACCUACCGAAUAAGCACCGGCUAACUCCGUGCCAGCAGCCGCGGUAAUAC